rnacentral:rRNA from 1 species
UACGAAGGGGGCGAGCGUUGUUCGGAUUUACUGGGCGUAAAGGGCGCGCAGGCGGCUCAUUUUGUCAGGCGUGAAAGCCCAGGGCUCAACCCUGGAAUUGCCUUUGAUACUGGCUAUCUUGAGUUCGGGAGAGGUGAGUGGAACUCCGAGUGUAGAGGUGAAAUUCGUAGAUAUUCGGAAGAACACCAGUGGCGAAGGCGACUCACUGGCCCGAUACUGACGCUGAGGCGCGAAAGCGUGGGGAGCAAACAGG